rnacentral:rRNA from 1 species
CAGAGUUUGAUCCUGGCUCAGAGCGAACGCUGGCGGCAGGCUUAACACAUGCAAGUCGAGCGGGCGUAGCAAUACGUCAGCGGCAGACGGGUGAGUAACGCGUGGGAACGUACCUUUUGGUUCGGAACAACACAGGGAAACUUGUGCUAAUACCGGAUAAGCCCUUACGGGGAAAGAUUUAUCGCCGAAAGAUCGGCCCGCGUCUGAUUAGCUAGUUGGUGAGGUAACGGCUCACCAAGGCGACGAACAGUUAGAAAUGACUGCUAAUACCGGAUGAUGUCUUCGGACCAAAGAUUUAUCGCCCAGGGAUGAGCCCGCGUAGGAUUAGGUAGUUGGUGGGGUAAUGGCCCACCAAGCCGACGAUCCUUAGCUGGUCUGAGAGGAUGAUCAGCCACACUGGGACUGAGACACGGCCCAGACUCCUACGGGAGGCAGCAGUGGGGAAUAUUGGACAAUGGGCGCAAGCCUGAUCCAGCCAUGCCGCGUGGAUGAUGAAGGCCCUAGGGUUGUAAAGCUCUUUUGUGCGGGAAGAUAAUGACGGUACCGCAAGAAUAAGCCCCGGCUAACUUCGUGCCAGCAGCCGCGGUAAUA